rnacentral:misc_RNA from 1 species
GAGUUGCCCAUAAAUUUGUGUUUCAACAAACCCUUCCUCUAGGGUUUGGCACCUUUCUUUUUUCAUAGAAAACGCUUUAGACUUGUCUAGCAUCUUAAUCUGAAGCAUUUGAACUUGAAUGGAAUCUUUAAUAGCCCCUGAAUUUCCAUGCUUAUCUGCCUGCAUAAAGAAGAUGAGUUUUAGAUGUGGCUUUCGCUUAGAAACUUAUAUUAACUCGAUGGUCAAUAGAAUCUGGUGGCCGCAUAACUAAGCUAUUGAAUG